GGUCUCAGUAAGUUGCCUAAGCUGGCUUCAAACUUGUGGUCCUCCCGCCUCAACUUCCCAAGCUACUGGGAUUACAGGCAUACAGACCACAGGUCCUUACUUCCUUUGAAUCACACAAAAUAUUUGUGGGUUCUUAUCAGUUGUUGCAAAGUUCAAUUUAAAACCCCAUUCUUGGCCCCAUGGAAUUAAUUAUAUUUGCAGGAUCUUAAUUUCCUUCACCUUAUUGUUUCCAGUACAAUUUAUAGCACUCUCCAAAAUCCCAUGCCAACAUGGGUUAGAACAAAAUGACAUAUUUUAUGGCAUCUUUCCUGAAUAAAUGUCUUUGGGGCCAUGCAUUUACCCACAUACAUGCAAAAAGGGGAUCGGAUGGUAUUUGGCUUACUAAGUCCUAGAAUCAGAAAAUUAUGGAGUCUUUUUUAAAAAUUUUUUUCAAUUUAUUUUUUUUAUUAGCUACACAUGACAUUACAAUGAUCUUGGAAAUUCAUACAUUUGAAUCAAUUGGGGUAUAAUUUCUCAUUUUUCUAAUUAUGGAGUCUUUAUUAAGGCCAUUGAGGAAGAUAAAUGGAGCUACCUUUAUUGAGCACCUACAAUGUUUCAGGUAGUUUACAUAUAUACCUUCUAAUUAUCACAGCCCAGAGAAAUGGACAAUUUUAUCACUAUUUGGUAGAAGAAAAAACUGAAACUAAUUGUAUCAAACCAUUUUUUUUAAGGUUUUAAAAUCUGACUCCAAAGACCAUAUUCUUCCUAUCACACCACAGCAUGUUGUCUUUGUGUCUCAAGAUUAUUUAUGUUCUUGAAAUAUAAAAAAGAAUCAUUGGAUUUCAUGGCCUAUUAUUAUAAAGCACAAAGUCGUGUCCCAUUUUUUAGUGGAGGCUCCUCGGUUUUCUUGAUAAUUGAAUCCCCAAGCUCAGCAUUUGGCAAGCCAUUGAGAAAAAACAUAGAAAGCUAGAUAGGAGAAGGGGGAAGAAAUAAGGAAAAACAGAAUAUUGCAAUUGAACAUCUGGUGGUAACUCUCAAAAGAAGGGAAAGGAAGACACUUGGUUUUCCUGCCAUAUUUUUCUUUUAAAAGGAAGAAUGGGUAGCAUGCGGCAAAGGGUAAAUAGAGAAUAUUCAUGUUGUGAUAAUUAGCAAACAGAGCCAAGGAGAGCUGGCUUGGGAGUUGCGUCUCCAUCUCCCUGGUCAUUGUACCCUGCAUGGAAAGGGAGGAUUCAGUUUGGGUUUCAGGCUUAGAGUUGUCAUGCGAGAAGUGUACAUUAAUUUCAUAUUUUCUCAUAACUUUCUUUUGGGGAUAAGCAUUUGGUUUUCUGCUGUUUAUUAUUUCAAAGGCAUCUGUAUGCUAAUAUGCUUUAUGCUAAUUAUUUUCAUGUUUGCCCCUCAGGUUAUGCUUCAUAUCACCCACCAGGGAGGAUCAUCUCUCAUGAAAACUUUCAAAUUUGAUUUUGAAAAUUAUUCAGAAAAAAUUAAGCCAUGCUCUCUCCUAACAGGAAAUAAUAUGCUCUGGAGAAUCCUGUAAUUCAAAGAAAAUGGACUGGGAUAACAUUUGGGUUCUCAUACUACCAAAAUCCUCGUGAGAAGGACAGCCAGGAGGCUAAUAAUGAAGGGGCCAGGGAAGGAGGCCAAUGCUACAAGGGUUAUCUCACAACCUCAGAUGCUGGGUAAGUCGAAGGAGACAGAAUCGCUUCUGGAUGACAUUCAGAAGGCCGGAGCGAUUAUUUGGGAGAGAAAAGCCUGCCCUAUUCUUUCAAGGUGCGUGCAUAUCCCCUGACCUGCCCAUCUACUGGUCCAGAGAUGAAUUAUUCGAAACCUGCUUAGACAAAGGCUGCCCUUGGAGCCCCAACACACCCCAAACCACGCUUUGAAGGAUCUGCCAAGCUCACUUUUAAUCAUGAGAAAGAAAUUACCCACAUGGAGACAGCAGAAAAUGAGAAAGUUGAGCUCGUGCUGCGAAUAAUUCCAGCGAGUGCCAAGGGGCUAGUUGAGGAAUGACUUCAUGAGAUGUUAGUCUAAGACAACACCUUUGGAUGUAAGCAGCACCUUGAGAAAGAAAAGACUUCUUCAAGAAUGUCUUGUUCCACCUCCUUUUCAUAUGGGCCUUACAUGCCCGGGUUGGAUCAAUAGUUUAAUAUAUUUUUUUGUACUUGAACUGUUUAAUAUUUACUACUCACCUCUAUUCAUUUUGACUGUUUUCUGUAUGUUUAUUUUUGCUGGAACUUUUUUAAUAUUGAAUAUUGACAAGUACUUAUUUUUACUGGCUUUCUGUAUUUUUUCAAUGGGACUCCUAAUAAAAAUUAUUUGUUUCUC